GUUGAUGGCCAUAUCAUUCUGAACAUGCCUGAUCUUAUCUGAUUUCAAGAAGUUGAGCAAGGGUGAGCCUGGUAGAUAUUUGGGUCAGGCACUACCUGCA
ensembl:rRNA 5S_rRNA 5S ribosomal RNA